rnacentral:lncRNA from 1 species
AUGGAUGGUUCCCGGCGCCCGAGGAGACCGCGGGAGUCCCGGACAGAAUCGAAGGGCCGCAGAGCUGGAGACACCUGCUCGGCCACCCCCGCCCCGCGGAAGGCGGCGAAACGGAGGCGGCAGGCGGAGCAGGAUCCCCGCACAGGGGCAGAGCCAGCCGCAGUGCCAGGAGCUCCCUGCCCGGCUCCAGCGCGGGCCCCGGAAGCAGCCCAGGUGAGUGGGCGGGAGGGACUCUGGAGGCUGGCCAGAGGGCCGCUGCUGCCCGGGCUCCAGGCCCCCAGCCAAGCCCCGCAGAUGACCCUCCAGCUGGCGCUCAGCCUGAGCAGGACCUCCACCGCCUGGGGGGUGGGGGGGGAGGUGGCCAGGCAGAGUUUCCCUCGGGGACGGGGCGGGGGCUGGCGGCUGGCAGCUCCCUCCCCAAGAGGCCUCUCGGAGGGCCCCUGGGUGCUGGAGAACUCAGAGCUUUCCUCCCGCAGGGGCCGCGGACGCCCAGCACGCAAUGUAUGCAGAUGGUCGUGGUGGUCCUGGAGCCGGGAACAGCCCUUGAGCUGCGCCUGGGUGCGGAAGUCCUGGUCCUGGCCCCCCACGCAGCCCUGCAGCUCACGCUCGGCAACCUGGCGCUCGUCGUCGUCCCUGCGCGCGUCCUGAGCUCUUCCGAGGCUCUCUGGUUCCCUGCCCACGCGCGCUGGCUCUGGCCCGGCCCGACCCAGGCCGCCUGGGCCAUCAACGUGCAAGACGGAUCCCUUUGCGCCCAGAGAGCGGAGCCCAGCGGAGCGCCCCCCGCGCCAGAGGACGGGGAGGCUAGGCGAGGCUGCCGGCCCCCCGCGGGACCCUGGGCCGGCGGAGUCCCGGGCCUCAGCCCCUCCUCCCCGCACACCCUCCUCCUCCAAGCUCUCCGCGGGGCCCCUGCCCGCCAGGGCUGCGGGCUCCCGCCCGAGCCCAGGCCGGGGCUGCGCCCUCUGCCGGCCGAGUUCAGCCUGGACCUCCGCGGCCUGGGGCCCCCGCCCAGCUCGGAGCUCAGACCUCUGCCUCCCUCCCCGAGUCCCAGUCCGCGGCCCAGAAGCUGCCGCGCGCCGCCCCGUCGCAGGCCCCCCGCCAAGGCCCGCAGGCGUCUCUUCCGAGGGGAUUGAUCGGCCGCGAGCGCCCACCCCACGCGCAAGAAUUGGCGCACGCCGUUCGGGAGCCGCGGACGCCUGCUCCUUCUAGGGUGUCUCCCUGAGGCGGGAUCACUCUCUGCCGGGAACACCGCGCGGGCGGCUGGCGCUCCAGGCGGGAGCGGAGGCCGCCAGGGACCUCUCCC